AUAACCAAUCCUGAAUAAUCCAACAUUAUCCUUACCCACCACAGGAAUCACAAUUUACUUUCUUCUUCCCUCUCUCAAGCCCCACCAUGUAGCUCUCACUGCAACAAUGCAAGAGAAAAUCCAUUUCUUCUCGAACCACAAAUCCUCAUUUCCUUACCCUUUCAAUCUCCACAAUUUUUCCUCUUCUCACCAUCAUUUUCCCUCACUUUCUUGCUCAAGAACUCUUCAUUUUCCCUCCCUUUCCUCCAAAACAAACACCGUUUCUAUCCCUCCCAAGCCCCCCAAAAUAACUGAAAUCCCCUCCUUAUCUGCACCUAUUAAUAACCCUCCUCCGCCUGCACCACCCAAUGCAGAUUUUCAAGAGAAAAUGCUUUACCUUGAUUCCAUAGGUAUCGACAUAUUUUCCCUCGUCGACCACCAUCGUCCGAUCAUUCUCUCUGCCUCCCUCGCCGAUAUAAAAUCCAUGGUCGAUUUAUUUCUCUCCAUGAAUUUCAACUCCCUGGAGUUCCGCCGGAUUGUUUCCAUGUGCCCAGAAAUCCUCGCCUCCAAUGCCUCCACCAUCCUUCCCGUCUUCACCUUCCUCCUCCGGGAAGCCCGUGUCAACGGCUUCGAUAUUAAGCGCGUCAUCAAUCGACGGCCCAGAUUGCUCGUUUCCAGCGUCAAGCAGCGGCUGCGUCCCACCCUGUACUUCCUCCAAAGCAUUGGCAUAGAAGAGGUAAACAAACACACUUCUUUGCUUUCCUGUAGCGUGGAAGACAAACUAUUACCGAGAAUUGAAUACUUUGAGAAAAUGGGUUUCCUUUGUAAAGACGCCAAAUCCAUGUUUAGGAGGUUUCCCCCACUCUUUAAUUACAGUAUAAAAGACAAUAUUGAGCCAAAAUUGAAUUAUUUCGUGGUGGAAAUGGGAAGAGAUUUGAAGGAGCUCAAAGAGUUUCCACAGUACUUUUCAUUUAGUUUAGAAAAUAGGAUUAAGCCGAGGCACCAAUCCUGUGUAGAGAAGGGUAUGUAUUUCCCUCUACGUGCUUUGUUAAAGAUCAGUGAGGAACAAUUUCGAGGUAGAUUGGAAGUCUGUUGUAAUUCUUCGAUGCCAUUGAGCUCUUCUCCUUUGUCAUGUAUAAAUUGGCAUAUUGAUUCUAACACAGAAUAGAUUUUUACAUUUUUCUUGUAUCUUUGAAUUGUUGUGCUUUGUGUGUCUGUAAAUUGUUGUUUAAAUGUUAUUGUUUUUUAUUUAUCUUUGUGUUUUAUGAUUGUGUGAAGUCUGCUAUUCUAGUUCUAUGCCUAUAUGGAUACAUAGUGUAGGAGGGUGAGCUUUGGUGCAGUAGCAGUUAGCAAGAUGACUCAUUGUGAGCAGAAGGGCAUCGGUGGAUUUAUGGUGACAACCCCUCUGCAAAAGGAGGGGGAAGCUGCAUUUCAUAGAUGAAUAACCAUUCAAAUUCACAAAACGGUGUAUAUAUAUUAGUUGCAUUUGUUCUUCUGCAGGCUAAGUACUGAUGGGUUAUUGUUGCUUCACUUUGUUUGAUUUAGGAGAACAAAAAAGUUUCUUUUUUCUGCAUAAUUUGCUAGUGAUGGUAAACUUACGAUUGCCUAUGAGAUUUGAAAUUACUCAAGUGAAAUGCAUAGUCAGUGCUGGCACAGCAGCCACACUGGUCUUUUGUUUGUUGGAAAGAGAUAGAAAGAGAAAAGAGAGUAGAUUGAUAAAGAAAAGGGUAGGAGGAAGAGGAACCUAUCACUAUUAAGUUAUGUAGUUUAGUUGUUGGUUUGUGUUGAUUUUCAUCUUUGGUAAUUGAUGAUUUCUGCUAGUACUCAAAAAGUACAUUUUCUUAAUGUUUUUCUGGCAUCUAGUGUUUUAAAGCUAAAACCACUUUUGUUCUUAUUUUCUACAUGUCACAGAGAUAAUUGAAGUUCCAUCAGGCUUUUGUCUUUUACAAGUCAGAUUGUCAUCCUGUGUAACAUUUCCUCUCUCUUUUUCCACUCUUUUUGAUACAUAACUGUAGAAUUCUGUGUUAUUAAGCUUUAAAGUAUCUGGCGUCCUGAAUGCGGAUCGAUACUUUGGUAUCUUGUUUCUUGUUCAUCUGCUAGUGCAACUUGCUAGUGUGAAAGUUGGACUGAACAAAUUUUUAGAGGAUCAAUUGGCUCGACUGAAGUCCAGUUUUUUUAAGCAUAUUACUACUGGUUUUUGUGGUGCAAAUUAAGUAAUCUUUGCUGUUGAAUCCUCCAGGUUCGUUAGAGUUAGUUCCCUUCUAUAAAACUAGGAAACUAGAAAUUUUAUAUGUGCAUUAAAGGCGUUGGUGAAUUGGAGCUUACAGCUAUAGCUUGAAUAUUUAUAAGAAAAUACUUCAAAUAGACGAUUGUUACAAUUUUUCUUUUAGUAGGCACAGACAACGUUUAAUGCAUUUUUUUUGAAAAUUUCAAAUUAUCGAAGAUUAAUAUAGAAUCUUUUGUCAAGUGCCAUUUUAUCUUUACAUCAAUGGGUUGAUAGCUUGUAAGGUAGCUUGGAAAGUUUCCAUCUCACCUGGAGUGGAGAUUAACUUCAUCACAUAAGGAUAAGAGAAGAAAAGCUUUUCUUGCCAGUAGAUGGGCAGCCCAAUUACUCUCAAUAUACAAAGUUGAACGGAACACUGGAGAAGCAUUCUUGUAAUGGAGAGGUAUCCAAAAUACAGGUUUCCCCUUUUGAGGGAGUGGCUAUAAGACCAGCAGUAGCAUCUUUACUUGUUUGGCAUCUCCUUCAAAAAUAAUGUUGGCAGCACUAACUCCCUUGUUGCUUACAACGGGUCCAAACUAUACACCGUCAAAGGAUAUGAGAAAUCUUGAAUAUGCUUUGCCGAGCAAAAUAUUAUGGACCUGUUAAUUCAUUAGGGAUCAAGACUGUUUUUCUCAAUAAUGUUUUCUAUAAGGAUCGUUCUCUUUUAGAACAUAAUGGCCUUUAUCGCUGUGCCAACAAUUAUUGGUAUUUUUUAUAAUUGAUAGCUUGAGCUAGGAUUUUUUUAUUGACAAAAGCUAAAAAUUUCA
rnacentral:misc_RNA from 1 species